rnacentral:rRNA from 1 species
GUCCAGACUCCUACGGGAGGCAGCAGUGGGGAAUAUUGCACAAUGGGGGAAACCCUGAUGCAGCGACGCCGCGUGAAGGAAGAAGUAUCUCGGUAUGUAAACUUCUAUCAGCAGGGAAGAAAACAGACGGUACCUGACUAAGAAGCCCCGGCUAACUACGUGCCAGCAGCCGCGGUAAUACGGAGGAUGCGAGCGUUAUCCGGAUUUAUUGGGUUUAAAGGGUGCGUAGGCGGACUGGAAAGUCAGCGGUAAAAUCGAGAGGCUCAACCUCUUUCCGCCGUUGAAACUGUCGGUCUUGAGUGGGCGAGAAGUAUGCGGAAUGCGUGGUGUAGCGGUGAAAUGCAUAGAUAUCACGCAGAACUCCGAUUGCGAAGGCAGCAUACCGGCGCCCAACUGACGCUGAGGCACGAAAGCGUGGGUAUCGAACAGGAUUAGAUACCCCCGUA